AUUGAACGCUGGCGGCAGGCCUAACACAUGCAAGUCGAGCGGAUGAAGGGAGCUUGCUCCUGGAUUCAGCGGCGGACGGGUGAGUAAUGCCUAGGAAUCUGCCUGGUAGUGGGGGGUAACGUCCGGAAACGGGCGCUAAUACCGCAUACGUCCUGAGGGAGAAAGUGGGGGAUCUUCGGACCUCACGCUAUCAGAUGAGCCUAGGUCGGAUUAGCUAGUUGGUGGAGUAAAGGCCUACCAAGGCGACGAUCCGUAACUGGUCUGAGAGGAUGAUCAGUCACACUGGAACUGAGACACGGUCCAGACUCCUACGGGAGGCAGCAGUGGGGAAUAUUGGACAAUGGGCGAAAGCCUGAUCCAGCCAUGCCGCGUGUGUGAAGAAGGUCUUCGGAUUGUAAAGCACUUUAAGUUGGGAGGAAGGGCAGUAAGUUAAUACCUUGCUGUUUUGACGUUACCAACAGAAUAAGCACCGGCUAACUUCGUG
rnacentral:rRNA from 1 species